UGCGUAGCUCAGUUGGAUAGAGUGUUUGGCUACGAACCAAAAGGUCGGGGGUUCGAAUCCCUCCGC
rnacentral:tRNA from 1 species